CCGUUGGGACUCUUGAAGUCUUAGUGGCGCAGCUAACGCACUAAGUUGACCGCCUGGGGAGUACGGCCGCAAGGUUAAAACUCAAAUGAAUUGACGGGGGCCCGCACAAGCGGUGGAGCAUGUGGUUUAAUUCGACGCAACGCGAAGAACCUUACCUGGCCUUGACAUGCAGAGAACUUUCCAGAGAUGGAUUGGUGCCUUCGGGAACUCUGACACAGGUGCUGCAUGGCCGUCGUCAGCUCGUGUCGUGAGAUGUUGGGUUAAGUCCCGUAACGAGCGCAACCCCUAUCCCUAGUUGCUAGCAGUUCGGCUGAGAACUCUAGGGAGACUGCCGGUGACAAACCGGAGGAAGGUGGGGAUGACGUCAGGUCAUCAUGGCCCUUACGGCCAGGGCUACACACGUGCUACAAUGGUGCGUACAGAGGGCUGCAAACCCGCGAGGGGGAGCUAAUCUCACAAAACGCAUCGUAGUCCGGAUCGGAGUCUGCAACUCGACUCCGUGAAGUCGGAAUCGCUAGUAAUCGCGAAUCAGAAUGUCGCGGUGAAUACGUUCCCGGGCCUUGUACACACCGCCCGUCACACCAUGGGAGUNGAUUGCACCAGAAGUGGUUAGUCUAACCUUCCGGGAGGA
rnacentral:rRNA from 1 species